AACGAACGCUGGCGGCAUGCCUAACACAUGCAAGUCGAACGAGACCUUCGGGUCUAGUGGCGCACGGGUGCGUAACGCGUGGGAACCUGCCCUUAGGUUCGGAAUAACUCCCCGAAAGGGGUGCUAAUACCGGAUAAUGUCUUCGGACCAAAGAUUUAUCGCCUUUGGAUGGGCCCGCGUUGGAUUAGCUAGUUGGUAGGGUAAAAGCCUACCAAGGCGACGAUCCAUAGCUGGUCUGAGAGGAUGAUCAGCCACACUGGGACUGAGACACGGCCCAGAAUCCUACGGGAGGCAGCAGUGGGGAAUAUUGGACAAUGGGCGAAAGCCUGAUCCAGCUAUGCCGCGUGAGUGAUGAAGGCCUUAGGGUUGUAAAGCUCUUUUACCCGGGAUGAUAAUGACAGUACCGGGAGAAUAAGCUCCGGCUAACUCCGUG
rnacentral:rRNA from 1 species